rnacentral:rRNA from 1 species
AUUGAGCGCUGGCGGCAGGCCUAACACAUGCAAGUCGAGCAGAUGAAGGGAGCUUGCUCCUGGAUUCAGCGGCGGACGGGUGAGUAAUGCCUAGGAAUCUGCCUGGUAGUGGGGGAUAACGUCCGGAAACGGGCGCUAAUACCGCAUACGUCCUGAGGGAGAAAGUGGGGGAUCUUCGGACCUCACGCUAUCAGAUGAGCCUAGGUCGGAUUAGCUAGUUGGUGGGGUAAAGGCCUACCAAGGCGACGAUCCGUAACUGGUCUGAGAGGAUGAUCAGUCACACUGGAACUGAGACACGGUCCAGACUCCUACGGGAGGCAGCAGUGGGGAAUAUUGGACAAUGGGCGAAAGCCUGAUCCAGCCAUGCCGCGUGUGUGAAGAAGGUCUUCGGAUUGUAAAGCACUUUAAGUUGGGAGGAAGGGCAGUAAGUUAAUACCUUGCUGUUUUGACGUUACCAACAGAAUAAGCACCGGCUAACUUCGUG